UUUUGGAGUAUUUUGAUGUCAGAGAUAGGGACACUGAAUCUCUGUUGUGGUCAGAAGUGGAAUGCAUGCACCACUUCUCUUGAGCAGGAGCUGGAUGCCUCCUAGUUGCCUCCCUGACCAAGACCUCUUGGCUGUUCUUCAGUUUCCCUGGUCUAUUAGGUAUUUGGGCUCGCCUGGUCAGUGAAACAAGACUGAGGUCCUGACCCUGGGAUCCUCUUUCAGGAAAGCCCUGGGCUGAGCUGCCAAAGGAAAAUUGGGAGGCUUCAGACAGCAGCUGGACCUGUAAGAUGUGACUGAAAUGUUUUGGAAAUGGGAGAACGUUGGGCAACAAUCGCUUUAAAAGGAUAAUCAAGAACUUUAAGGUAUUCCUCCUCAUGUCCUUUUCUCUGCUGCAUUUGAAGGUGGGGGAGGUCUGUGUCUCACUCUUAGAAGCAUUAAUUCAAAAAAGAAAUAUUAAGGUCUAGUGGAAACAAUAUCAUGGGACUCCAUAGUUCUUUUUCUGGAUGUGGACAGCAUUUUCC